UNUGGUCUGUAACUGACGCUGAGGCUNGAAAGCGUGGGGAGCGAACAGGAUUAGAUACCCUGGUAGUNCACGCCGUAAACGAUGAGUGCUAGGUGUUAGGCCCUUUCCGGGGCUUAGCGCCGCAGCUAACGCAUUAAGCACUCCGCCUGGGGAGUACGACCGCAAGGUUGAAACUCAAAGGAAUUGACGGGGGCCCGCACAAGCGGUGGAGCAUGUGGUUUAAUUCGAAGCAACGCGAAGAACCUUACCAGGUCUUGACAUCCCGAUGCCCGCUCUAGAGAUAGAGUUUUACUUCGGUACAUCGGUGACAGGUGGUGCAUGGUUGUCGUCAGCUCGUGUCGUGAGAUGUUGGGUUAAGUCCCGCAACGAGCGCAACCCUUAUUGUUAGUUGCCAUCAUUCAGUUGGGCACUCUAGCGAGACUGCCGGUAAUAAACCGGAGGAAGGUGGGGAUGACGUCAAAUCAUCAUGCCCCUUAUGACCUGGGCUACACACGUGCUACAAUGGCUGGUACAACGAGUCGCAAGUCGGUGACGGCAAGCUAAUCUCUUAAAGCCAGUCUCAGUUCGGAUUGUAGGCUGCAACUCGCCUACAUGAAGUCGGAAUCGCUAGUAAUCGCGGAUCAGCACGCCGCGGUGAAUACGUUCCCGGGCCUUGUACACACCGCCCGUCACACCACGAGAGUUUGUAACACCCGAAGUCGGUGAGGUANCCUUUUAGGA
rnacentral:rRNA from 1 species